CAGCCGCCACGGGAAUACGUAGGUGGCAAGCGUUGUCCGGAAUUAUUGGGCGUAAAGGGCUCGCAGGCGGUUUCUUAAGUCUGAUGUGAAAGCCCCCGGCUCAACCGGGGAGGGUCAUUGGAAACUGGGAAACUUGAGUGCAGAAGAGGAGAGUGGAAUUCCACGUGUAGCGGUGAAAUGCGUAGAGAUGUGGAGGAACACCAGUGGCGGAGGCGACUCUCUGGUCUGUAACUGACGCUGAGGAGCGAAAGCGUGGGGAGCGAACAGGAUUAGAUACCCCUGUAGUCCCUGUCUCUUAUAC
rnacentral:rRNA from 1 species